rnacentral:rRNA from 1 species
UACGUAGGGGGCGAGCGUUGUCCGAAGUUACUGGGCGUAAAGCGCGCGUAGGCGGGGGAUUAAGUGAGAGGUGAAAGGCUGGGGCUCAACCCCAUGCAGUGCCUCUCAUACUGGUCUUCUUGAGGGCGGUAGGGAGAAGUGGAAUGGCUGGUGUAGCGGUGAAAUGCGUAGAUAUCAGUCGGAACACCGAUGGCGAAGGCGGCUUCUUGGGCCGUUCCUGACGCUGAGGCGCGAAAGCUGGGGGAGCGAACGGG